UACGUAGGGGCGAGCGUUGUCCGGAUUUAUUGGGCGUAAAGAGCUCGUAGGCGGUUUGUCACGUCGGAUGUGAAACCCUGAGGCUCAACCUCAGGCCUGCAUUCGAUACGGGCAGACUAGAAUUCGGCAGGGGAGACUGGAAUUCCUGGUGUAGCGGUGAAAUGCGUAGAUAUCUGGAGGAACACCGGUGGCGAAGGCGGCAUCCUGGACCAAUUCUGACACUGAGGAGCGAAAGCCAGGGGAGCAAACGGG
rnacentral:rRNA from 1 species